GAAAUAGCUGCCUAGCAUAUUACCUGUUAUUAAUUCGCUCAAAGUUGGACAAUUGAUUUUUUGACAAAUUACUUAGAUUGAUUCUGGCAGCAACUUAUUCGAUUCUUUGAUUGAACUGAAAUGUUAUUAUUUUCAAGGAGGACAAGUUGGCUAACUUUUAGCUUGUAAAUUCUUCUAAUUCAAAAAAGUUAUAUGAUAAAGAAAUUUUACUUAUCAAUUCGAUUAAACUUAAGUGUUCUGAUAAAUGAUAUGUAAC
rnacentral:lncRNA from 1 species